rnacentral:rRNA from 1 species
CUACGGGAGGCUGCAGUUGAGGAAAUUUUACAAUGCGCGAAAGCGUGAUAAAGCGAGCCAGAGUGUUGCUCUUAGAGCAACUUUUGUUUGCUGUAAAAAGGCAGACGAAUAAGGACUGGGCAAGACCGGUGCCAGCCGCCGCGGUAAUACCGGCGGUCCGAGUCGCAUCCACAUUUAUUGGGUCUAAAACAUUCGUAGCUUGUUUUGUAAGUUUCCUGUGAAAUCUCAUGUCUCAAACAUGAGGCGUGCAAGAAAUACUGCAUUGCUAGAGACCGGAAGACGCAAAGAGUAUGAUUAAGGUAGCGGUAAAAUGCGUUAAUCUUAAUCAGACUAACAACGGCGAAGGCACUUUGCGAGUACGGAUCUGACAGUUAGGGAUGAAGGCUAGGGUCGCGAAAGGGAUUAGAUACCCCCGUAGUC